GAGGCCGCACAGCCAAUGAGAGGCGCCGCCGCACUGCGGAGGCUUGAAGGCGCGAAGCGGCGCGCGACGGCCCCCGGCCGUUGGGGGUGGGGCCGCGCUGUGAGGGAGCCCAACGGUCAUCGCCGUCCCUUCAGCGUCCGCCCCGCUGCCGCCCGCUCCUCCGGUACCCAAGCGGCGGCUCAGAGUGAAUUUCGAGGUGCUUUUCUCUCCCCCCAGUGCCUAUGGGUGAACCUCAGCCCGGGCGUUGAGCUUUUUCUGUGAGAACAACCGGCCAGUACCUGUCACUGUUGGGCGGGCAGCCGCACCGAGGGGCUCUGAGGUGGCACGGGAGUCACUUAUAUACAGGCUUCUUUUUUUUGGUCACAAGACCGCUAGGACUGAAGAACACAGCCGAACAUUGGGAAACAGUAUCACCCUCCAGUCCUUCAAAGACAGAUUUGGCAAGUCGUCAGGCAUCCUAGCAGGAGGACCCAAGCUUAAAUUUUGAAAGUAACUACUAUGGAUAAACCUGCAUGGGAUGUUGACCUGAAGGAGUCCUAAAAUGGUGAGGCUUCUUUUCCUACUUUUAUAACAAGGAGUAUCAGAAAUAGCUUGAUUAACAGAGUUUUAAACGUAUUACCCAGGACUACAUAACCAAUUCUUCACAGAAGGUAAGUACUUAAUUGAGUAGCACUACCAAUUAUGAGACUAUUAUGAUUAGGAUUUUAAGGAAAUGUGGUUAAAAAAAAAAAGAUACUGAGGCCUCUUCAUCCAAUAAAGUUGUCAUUUGGGAUAACUAUACUGCCAAAUAAAAAAACUAAACUAAUCUUGGCAUUGUCAAAAAUGUUUUCUAACACAUCUUCUCCACAUUCAGAAAGCCUUUAAAAAUUAUUUGGAAGCAAUUAGAUCAAGAAAGAACCAACAAACUCACACACCAAUUUAUAACAACUUUUAUAGUUUAUAGAAAAGAAGUACCCAAACACAUUUCCAAUUGUUAUGCUGCGAUACAUUUGAAGAACUAGAAUAGUUUGAAAAUAAAACUGUAUGUUAAUGAUCACCAAGUUUCUUGAGGUUAAAUUGCUGACAAACCAGUAAAUUUAGAAAACCAGUGGCAGAAGGGUAGUUUAAA